AUUCCAUGAUGGGGACAUUCUAGGAUGUAGUCUUGAAAGCGCUCCCAUGCCUCUGGAACAGAUUCAUCAUUUUGUUGCUGAAAACUUGUAAUCUUACCACGGAGAGC
rfam:Sorghum bicolor cultivar BTx623 chromosome 3, whole genome shotgun sequence.